CCGCCGCCCUUGCUCCCCGGCCCGGCGGCGCCUGAGCAGCGGGAUCCGGCUCUGGCCCGCGCUGCACCUCCGAGCCCGACUGUGGGAGUCAACUCACCCUCUUCAUCUAUCUACAUUGACAUGCGACCUGAACUUUCCAUCCCUUGGAUCCCUCUGCUGCUUGGGAACAAGUGUGAUGUAAUUACGGCGUGAGGACUAUACUGCGUUUUUUUACAAAUUGAAGGUUUGUGCUCACUUACCAUUCCGAAAAUCCUAGGGCCCUUAAGAAUUAUGCUAAAUCUACUCUGCCUGUGCUCUAUA
rnacentral:lncRNA from 1 species